CUUAGAGACUGAUCACAAAGGUGGUUUUCCCAGGGCGAGGCUUAUCCAUUGCACUCUGGAUGUGCUGACCCCUGCAGUGGGAAACUGGAG
rnacentral:snRNA from 1 species